AUGCCCCGUCGUCUCCCACUCGCCUUGCUCCCACUUCACACCAAGGCCAUGCCUCGCCUCUCCUCCACCACGCCCAUGUCGCCACUCCGCCUCCGCCUCCGCGCCCGCCACUCCUCCUCCACCUCCCAUUCCUCACGCAGCUGGGAGCCCCACACCGCCUUCGCCGCCGCCACGGAGCGUGCGCGCUCUGGCAACCUCACCCCGGAGGACGCACACCACCUGUUCGAUGAAUUGCUGCGGCAGGCCAAUCCUGUCCAGGAGCGCCCGCUCAACAACCUUCUUGCCGCCCUCGCCCGCGCUCCGGCGUCCGCGGCGUGCAGUGAUGGCCUUGCACUCGCAGUCAACCUCUUCAGCCGCAUAUCCCAAGGCGCCCGCUGUGUGGCGCACCCAACGGCCUGCACCUACGGCAUCCUCAUGGACUGUUGCUGCCGCGCACACCGCCUCGAUCUGGCGUUUGCUUUCUUCGGCCGUCUCCUCAGGACGGGACUUAAGGCAGGCGUCAUUCAAGUUUGCACUCUUCUCAAGGGCCUCUGCCACGCAAAGCGCACAGAUGAGGCUCUCAACGUGCUGCUUCACAGGAUGACUGAGCUGGGCUGCACCCCUGACGUGGUGGCGUAUAACACGGUCAUCCAUGGCUUCUUCAAGGAAGGCCAAGUAGGCAAGGCGUGCAGCCUGUUCCAUGAAAUGGCGCAGCAGGGCGUUGCGCCUAAUUUGAUGACAUAUACCUCGGUUAUUGAUGCGCUGUGCAAGGCCAAAGCAAUGGACAAGGCAGAGUAUUUCCUUCGUCAGAUGGUUGAUAAUGGUGUCGUACCUGAUAAUGUCACAUAUAAUAGCCUCAUCCAUGGAUAUUCCUCUUCAGGCCAUUGGAAGGAGGCAGUUAGGGUAUCCAAAGAGAUGACAAGUCGGAGGGUUACAGCAGAUGUGCAUACUUACAACAUGUUUAUGACCUUUCUUUGCAAACAUUGA
rnacentral:rRNA from 1 species